UGGAGAGUCUGCUUCCUCUUCGAUUGCUCUUGGCUGUUGCCGGGGACACUGAAGAGUCGUGAUACCGAUGGAUCAGGAGCCGGAGGUGCCGCGGCGACAGUCCAGGCCUUGAGGGAGCACAGGGCCUCACCAACAGAGGAGUGUUCUUCCCGAGGGGUUCUGGGCCACAGGAGCUUUCUGGAGGAUAGAAGAGACCGAAGCGGGGCAAGCUGCUCCAGCAGGUCCUCUUUCCAGGGUUCGUCCGGUAAGCCAGCCAGCUCGGACUUGGAGGAUUGUGACUGGUGCACGUUCCGUUUCCUUGACAGUUGGGCACUUCCCGUAAGUAGGUUUUAAAUUUGUGAUGCGGGCCCGACCACUGGGGCAGCCUCUGUUUUGUGGGUCCCGAUCCAUGAACUACCUUUAUCAGUGCCCUGACUGCUGACAAACCCAUGUUCACACGUCACUGUAGGCAGCAACGCCGAGGCCUCCCUGGGCACAGAUGGCGGGCACAGAGCCAAGGGGCCCCCUGGUCCAAGAGGGAAGUGUUUGGGGGUCGGUGGGUUGAUUUGAUUUUGUCUCAACGGGAACUUUCUUUGGAUCUCUUUCCCUGACUUCACUGCACAUUUCAAAACAACAUUCUUUUAUGAACAAGCACCAGGACAUCAAAUACUUCCACACCCUAUGCUAGAAGUGCUUCAGGCCAUGUUGUUCUUUUUCUUUUAAAUAGUUCCAUGUAAAAUCAGAUGUUAAAUCUCUCUGAAUAAACCCAAGUGGAAAGGUUUUUUUUUUUUCUUUAAUAACACCAAUGACAAUCAGAACAGGUGGAAAGAAUAUGUGCCCUCAACACACAGAGCACAGUGGUUUAGAAGAAAAACACUAAGUUGUUACAUAUGUAACAAACAAUUCUUAUUUAUUGAUGGUGAGAAAAAUGAACAACAAAGCUUGGGGGGAAAGUACAGCAGGAAAUGUAUUAGCAGGAAGGAUGAUUUAUGUCUUCGAAUGGGGCCUAUUUCUUUCAUAAAAGGGUUUUGUUUUGCAUCUUGGUCAGGACCAGCUUUGCCCCACUUUUUUGAUUAUUAGAGCUUGUUUUGAGUCCAUCAUUUAUCACAGCUUUUUGAAACCACUCUUCAGCUAACACACCGUGAAAUAGACGGGAUUUCCAGGAUUUGCUACUCAGUUCUACAAUGCUGGAGCUGGAUGGGACUUUGGAGAUUGAGAGGCUGACACUACAAUCCCCACCUUGGUCACCCCUACACCCUCUCCAUUGUACUGUGAGGGAGAUGAGCCUGUGAGAGAAAGGAUCCCACUGUUGUUUGUGGCAGAAACAGAUCAUUUUGUUAGCAAUGCUUUGUAAAGGGACUCAAGACCUAGAAUUCUAGACUUUGUUUCUUUCUCUCAUUUUCUUCCCUAAUGCUCUGCAUAAAAGAACAGCUUUAUUAAUCGACAUGGAGUAUGGUAUGGGUGGUUUUGACGAUAACUCAUAAAAUACGCCGGGGCAUUCAUGUUUUUGUUUCCCUCAAAAGAUUGCCUCUCUCAGAUUGGCAUUGUGUGGUAUUUUCAAACACUUGAACUUCGUACAGAGGGCUGGAAGGAACUUCAGAAGAACCCUAAUUUUUGCUAAAGGUGAUCAAAUGGGGUGUUAACACGCUGCAUGCUGCCAAAGGGUGAGUUAAAGUAGGAAGAACUUUCCAUGUGUAGACAUGGGCCUGAAAGAGUUCCAAAAACGUUUGUUGUGAACUUCAGGAAACCCUGAAAAUUUUGUGCUAACCAGCUUGAAAUAACACAGACUCUUCUCUUGGUAAAUUCACAGGACCUGACAAGGAAAAGUUCCUACCUGUGUACUUACAGAAUUCUCUCUGCAUUCACUCUCUGUGGGGUGAACUUCAGUUCCACCAGCGGACUCUGCAUAGUACUGGCCCUGUGCCUUUCUAGAUUUUUUUCCUGGCUUGUCAGACCUGUUCUCUCCCAAAGUUUUGUUUCAUGGUUGUUGUAUUUGUUUAUUUUGUUUGGAAAGCUUUUAUUUCAUAAAUACUGCAUUUAUUCAUUUUAGAACAAUGAGAAAAUACAGAUACAGAAAAAAAAAGAGAGAGAGAAAGAGAUUACCUGUAAUACUAGAGGUAGCCAACCAUUGAUAUUUUGGAAUAUACAUUUCUAGACUUUUUGUAUAAAUAUGUACACACUGAAGUACAUCUUCUUAACAACAAAGAUGGGAUCACACAGUUUAUAUUGUUGGAUUCCCCGGUCUUUCAUUGUUUGAGAACGUGUUAAUAUUGGCAAUGACUCUUCUCUCUAGGCUAGGCUCUCAUUUGAAUUCCUUUCAAUAAAGACAGAAUUUUCAAGAUGUCAGAGUUGGGGACCUGUCAAGUGGAUAUUCCUCUGCCCUUCGUUCUCUGUCUAGGAUAAUCCUAAGCAUUGCUUUCAGCCUUUUGCUAGAAGUGGGAAUAUUUUCAAUUUGUAAAUAGCCAUAGAUGUUCCUACAGUCCUGCAUUCCCCACCUGCCUAUGUUCCAUUGGUGAAAACACAGAGUGGUUUGCCUACCAACUGCAGCUGUUCUCC
rnacentral:lncRNA from 1 species